GACGAACGCUGGCGGCGUGCUUAACACAUGCAAGUCGAACGAAGUGGCGAACGGGUGAGUAACGCGUAAUCAACCUGCCCUUCAGAGGGGGACAACAGUUGGAAACGACUGCUAAUACCGCAUACUGAAGGAGGGGAUUGCGUCUGAUUAGCUAGUUUGAGGGGUAACGGCCCACCAAGGCGAUGAUCAGUAGGCGGUCUUAGAGGAUGGACGGCCCACAUUGGACUGGAGACCGGCCCAGACUCCUACGGGGGGCAGGAGGGGGGAAUCCUCCGCAAUGGACGGAAGUCUGGCGGAGCAACGCCGCGGGAGGUAUGACGGCCUUUGGGUUGUAAAGCUCUGUUAAUCGGGACGCGAUACCGGAAUAGAAAGCCACGGCUAACUACGUGCCAGCAGCCGCGGUAAUUC
rnacentral:rRNA from 1 species